rnacentral:tRNA from 1 species
GGUCCGUUAGCUCAGUCGGCAGAGCGUGGUGCUAAUAACGCUAAGGUCAUGGGUUCGAGCCCCAUAUGGACCA